rnacentral:rRNA from 1 species
UACGGGGGGAGCAAGCGUUGUUCGGAUUUACUGGGCGUAAAGGGCGCGUAGGCGGGAUGGCAAGUCGGUCGUGAAAUCCUUCGGCUCAACCGAAGAACGUCGGCCGAUACUGCCGUUCUUGAGGGAUGCAGAGGAGAUUGGAAUUCCCAGUGUAGAGGUGAAAUUCGUAGAUAUUGGGAAGAACACCGGUGGCGAAGGCGGCGCUCUGGACCGAGACUAACGCUGAGGCGCGAAGGCGUGGGGAGCAAACAGG